GUGCCCCCUUUGACGGCAUAUAUACUAAAAUUGGAAUGAUACGGAAAAGACUGGCAUGGCCGCUGUGCAAGGAUGACAUGCCAAUUUGUGAAGGAUUUCACAUGUUU
rnacentral:snRNA from 1 species